CGCAUCUGUGCAUGCAGCAUAUCAAUAAGCGGAGGAAAAGAAACUAACAAGGAUUCCCCUAGUAACGGCGAGUGAAGCGGGAAGAGCUCAAAUUUGAAAUCUUAAAGGGUUUCCCUUUACGAAUUGUAGUUUAAAGAAGUGUUUUCUGUUGAGGUUUUGGUAAAAGUUCUUUGGAAUAGGACAUCAUAGAGGGUGAGAAUCCCGUAUUUGACCUUUACUUUCAACUUUGUGAUACACUUUCAAAGAGUCGGAUUGUUUGGGAAUGCAGUCCAAAAUGGGUGGUAAAUUUCAUCUAAAGCUAAAUAUCGGCGAGAGACCGAUAGCGAACAAGUACCGUGAGGGAAAGAUGAAAAGAACUUUGAAAAGAGAGUUAAACAGUACGUGAAAUUGUCAAAAGGGAAGCGUUUGACACCAGUGUUGUUUUUCUGAAAAUCAAUUAAAGAACUGUUUAUGCUAAGCUGUUUAGACUUUAUCAGCUAAUCUGUUUAGUUUUGAGCUUUUCUUUAAUGCACUUUUCAGUUAACAAGUCAACAUCAAUUUCUUUUGCUGUAAAAAAGCUUGAGGAAGGUGGCUUGAGAUUCGUCUUAAGUGUUUAUAGCCUCUUGCCUAUGCAGUCGGAGAGAUUGAGGUCUGCAGCGUAGAUCCUUCGGGGCUAAAUGCAUUUGUGCUAAGUUAUAACAUUUUAUAGACAACUUGUUGACUAUGAUUUGUCUUGUAGCUUACUCGCUUAUGUUAUUUUACCUACGCUUAGGAUGUUGACAGCAGUAUAGACUGU
rnacentral:rRNA from 1 species